CAUAUCGAUGCCUUAGGAAACAGUGAAGAUUAGAUCUCCGAGGUCAGCCGGUGUGUAAUUGGAAUCUCGGGGCUAGGAGAACACAGUCAGAUUUACACAGGGCUUCUUGUCUCUAGGGAUUCUUUUAUUUUUUUUUGCUAUCAUAUCAUCUCUGAUAGAGCAAAACUGCUUGUUUUAGCUCUUGAUAGAAAAGUAACUUCCCUUGUCCAUUUUUUCACAAGCAAUGUAUAAACAGGAAGAAAGUGGAAAGCCUGUCAUUAUGUGUAGCAGUACCCACUUUUGGUUAUAUGCCACAGAGAGGGAUGUGGAUUUGAGGGUAGAAGAUCUGGGUUUGAGUCCAGUUCUGCCUUGGGGGACAAACCAGAACCAGAAACAUUGUCCCUCUGAGGCCUGAGACAAGGAAGACAGAGCCCAUUGGUCUGUUAACCACUGGAGGUGAAUCCCAUGGGGAAAACUCUGUAAUUUUGGAUAGUAAAAAUGAAUGGUGUUAUGGAGCAAC
rnacentral:lncRNA from 1 species